rnacentral:rRNA from 1 species
GACCUCGGAUCAGGUAGGAAUACCCGCUGAAC